AAGUCGUAACAAGGUUUCCGUAGGUGAACCUGCGGAAGGAUCAUUAUACACGAUUCCAAAUCGUAUUAACCAACCGCGCACUCGUUUUGUACCCCCAAGUAUGUUCGAGCUAAAAAGUUUGAGAGUUGAGACAGUGUGGCUGUGCUACCUUCGGGUUUCAUGGCUUGCUCUCUUACCCGUCUAGGCCGUUCUUCGCGUCCGGAAAGCUUUAAUAUACUACGCUGUUGCGCUCCAGUGCCGUAAGGCACUGGGGUCGCUUACUUAACUCUAUUUACCCUUUUUAACAAGUUGUACUAAAAUGGUUAUUCUUUGUUUAAGAAACAAAAGAACAACUCUUAGCAACGGAUAUCUAGGCUCUC
rnacentral:misc_RNA from 1 species